AUUGAACGCUGGCGGCAUGCCUUACACAUGCAAGUCGAACGGCAGCACGGGAGCAAUCCUGGUGGCGAGUGGCGAACGGGUGAGUAAUGUAUCGGAACGUGCCCAGUCGUGGGGGAUAACGUAGCGAAAGCUACGCUAAUACCGCAUACGAUCUAUGGAUGAAAGCGGGGGACCGUAAGGCCUCGCGCGAUUGGAGCGGCCGAUAUCAGAUUAGGUAGUUGGUGGGGUAAAGGCCUACCAAGCCGACGAUCUGUAGCUGGUCUGAGAGGACGACCAGCCACACUGGGACUGAGACACGGCACAGACGCCUACGGGAGGCAGCAGUGGGGAAUUUUGGACAAUGGGCGCAAGCCUGAUCCAGCAAUGCCGCGUGCAGGAUGAAGGCCUUCGGGUUGUAAACUGCUUUUGUACGGAGCGAAAAGGCUCUCUCUAAUACAGGGGGCUCAUGACGGUACCGUAAGAAUAAGCACCGGCUAACUACGUGCCAGCCGCCGCCGUAAAAC
rnacentral:rRNA from 1 species